rnacentral:lncRNA from 1 species
UUUCCUAUGUUGGAAAGAAUUUACGAUCUCAGUUGCUUUUCCUUUCUUUUUUCUUUUUGCCAGCUUCCUCCUCCUCCUCAUGCAAUAAAGAUCAAUUUGUCUGGGAGCCACUUCUUUUUGAUGAGAGACCGUUUCUGGGAGAGGUCUCGGGCUUCAAGGAGCACAUACAAGGUCAGUGUGGUACCCUGCGCAUUUACCUGAAGAUUAAAUGGUGCUGAUUACUAUCUUGGAGAUGUCAUGCAAUGAAAAUCUUGGCUUCCCUGUGGAAUAUGGGAGAUGUGGAGGAGGGUAAAUGAUUAUUUCGCCAGGUGAGCAAGUCUUCCAGGCAUCUCUCCAGCAUUGUGGUCAGGGCAAUCCCUGUGACUGCUAGUGAUGGUUUAGGAAUGAUUCACUUGGAAUUGUCUUCUGGGUUUACCUUUAGUGGGUAGUCAUUUCCAUGAUUACGAAUAAGAAUGUGCUUUCCAGGAUUCUGGAACAUUGUGAGUAGAAGAAAGAGAGUGACAACUUUGGGAGGUGACGGGAUCAUCUAAAAAAAUCCAGGGAAAGUAAAAAUUAGGAAAAAAUGAGCAACACUAAAUAUUGUAGAUAUCAGAGGGCAAAGUUCUCAUGAAGCCUCAGGGAAAAAAAGAAUCCUGGAAGAGAUAAAGUGUCGAGUUCCAAACACUGAGAAAAGAAGUGGAUUAAAUGAGUUAUUUCCAGGUUUUGAUGGAAGCUGAAGUGGAGAGAUUUCAAGGUGAGGUGAGAAGUAGGCUCAAUUCUAUCAACAUCCCACAGGUGACCAGGAUUUCCUCCGCUCAAAAUAGCAGCUGCUCCAUCUGACCUGGAGUAGAAUAUUUCUGAGUAGUUUCCAAAGCAGCUGAAUCCUGCCAUCCCUGGUAGUCCUGAACGCGCGAGGAAUUCUUUUCUUCCUUUCCUACAACUGUUUCUCCCCUCUAUUUAGUUCUGCUCCUCUUCCCCCACAGUCCCUGGUUAGAUUUCUGGCUACUGGGAUAGUUUAAUUGAAAAGGGUACAAGGCAAAUGGCCUGGCUUAGAAGCUGUAAGUGUGAUUUAAUGCCACUUUUCACAUUCAAUGGUGGGAGCCCACAGAGAAGCGUGCUAAAGACAAGAAUCUUCUACUGAAG